rnacentral:rRNA from 1 species
UCGAUGGAGAGUUUGAUCCUGGCUCAGGACGAACGCUGGCGGCGUGCUUAACACAUGCAAGUCGAGCGAGGUCCAACCCUCCGCAAGGAGGGAGAAGGCCGAGCGGCGAAC